rnacentral:rRNA from 1 species
GUCGAACGAUGAUCUCCAGCUUGCUGGGGGGAUUAGUGGCGAACGGGUGAGUAACACGUGAGUAACCUGCCCUUGACUCUGGGAUAAGCGUUGGAAACGACGUCUAAUACCGGAUACGAGCUUCAGCCGCAUGGCUAGGAGUUGGAAAGAAUUUUGGUCAAGGAUGGACUCGCGGCCUAUCCGGUAGUUGGUGAGGUAAAGGCUCACCAAGCCGACGACGGGUAGCCGGCCUGAGAGGGUGACCGGCCACACUGGGACUGAGACACGGCCCAGACUCCUACGGGAGGCAGCAGUGGGGAAUAUUGCACAAUGGGCGAAAGCCUGAUGCAGCAACGCCGCGUGAGGGACGACGGCCUUCGGGUUGUAAACCUCUUUUAGUAGGGAAGAAGCGAAAGUGACGGUACCUGCAGAAAAAGCACCGGCUAACUACGUGCCAGCAGCCGCGGUAAUACGUAGGGUGCAAGCGUUAUCCGGAAUUAUUGGGCGUAAAGAGCUCGUAGGCGGUUUGUCGCGUCUGCUGUGAAAACUGGAGGCUCAACCUCCAGCCUGCAGUGGGUACGGGCAGACUAGAGUGCGGUAGGGGAGAUUGGAAUUCCUGGUGUAGCGGUGGAAUGCGCAGAUAUCAGGAGGAACACCGAUGGCGAAGGCAGAUCUCUGGGCCGUAACUGACGCUGAGGAGCGAAAGCAUGGGGAGCGAACAGGAUUAGAUACCCUGGUAGUCCAUGCCGUAAACGUUGGGGAACUAGAUGUAGGGGCCA